rnacentral:rRNA from 1 species
UAGGGAAUCUUCCGCAAUGGGCGAAAGCUUGACGGAGCAACGCCGCGUGAGUGAUGAAGGUCUUCGGAUCGUAAAACUCUGUUAUUAGGGAAGAACAAAUGUGUAAGUAACUAUGCACGUCUUGACGGUACCUAAUCAGAAAGCCACGGCUAACUACGUGCCAGCAGCCGCGGUAAUACGUAGGUGGCAAGCGUUGUCCGGAUUUAUUGGGCGUAAAGCGAGCGCAGGCGGUCAAUUAAGUCUGAUGUGAAAGCCCCCGGCUCAACCGGGGAGGGUCAUUGGAAACUGGUUGACUUGAGUGCAGAAGAGGAAAGUGGAAUUCCAUGUGUAGCGGUGAAAUGCGCAGAGAUAUGGAGGAACACCAGUGGCGAAGGCGACUUUCUGGUCUGUAACUGACGCUGAUGUGCGAAAGCGUGGGGAUCAAACAGG